rnacentral:rRNA from 1 species
GACGAACGCUGGCGGCGUGCUUAACACAUGCAAGUCGAACGGAAAGGCCCUGCUUUUGUGGGGUGCUCGAGUGGCGAACGGGUGAGUAACACGUGAGUAACCUGCCCUUGACUUUGGGAUAACUUCAGGAAACUGGGGCUAAUACCGGAUAGGAGCUCCUGCUGCAUGGGGGGGGUUGGAAAGUUUCGGCGGUUGGGGAUGGACUCGCGGCUUAUCAGCUUGUUGGUGGGGUAGUGGCUUACCCAGGCUUUGACGGGUAGCCGGCCUGAGAGGGUGACCGGCGACAUUGGGACUGAGAUACGGCCCAGACUCCUACGGGAGGCAGCAGUGGGGAAUAUUGCACAACGGGCGGAAGCCUGAUGCAGCAACGCCGCGUGCGGGAUGACGGCCUUCGGGUUGUAAACCGCUUUCGCCUGUGACGAAGCGUGAGUGACGGUAAUGGGUAAAGAAGCACCGGCUAACUACGUG